rnacentral:rRNA from 1 species
CCUACGGGAGGCAGCAGUGAGGAAUAUUGGUCAAUGGGCGCGAGCCUGAACCAGCCAAGUCGCGUGAGGGAAGACGGUCCUAUGGAUUGUAAACCUCUUUUGUCGGGGAGCAAAAGACGCCACGCGUGGCGUUCCGAGAGUACCCGAAGAAAAAGCAUCGGCUAACUCCGUGCCAGCAGCCGCGGUAAUACGGAGGAUGCGAGCGUUAUCGGGAUUUAUUGGGUUUAAAGGGUGCGCAGGCGGAAGAUCAAGUCAGCGGGAAAAUUGAGAGGCUAAACCUCUUCGAGCAGUUGAAACUGGUUUUCUUGAGUGAGUGAGAAGUAUGCGGAAUGCGUGGUGUAGCGGUGAAAUGCAUAGAUAUCACGAAGAACUCCGAUUGCGAAGGCAGCAUACCGGCGCUCAACUGACGCUCAUGCACGAAAGUGUGGGUAUCGAACAGGAUUAGAUACCCGAGUAGUC